UACGUAGGGGGCUAGCGUUGUCCGGAAUCAUUGGGCGUAAAGCGCGUGUAGGCGGUCCGGUAAGUCCGCUGUGAAAGUCGGGGGCUCAACCCUCGAAUGCCGGUGGAUACUGUCGGGCUAGAGUGCGGAAGAGGCGAGUGGAAUUCCUGGUGUAGCGGUGAAAUGCGCAGAUAUCAGGAGGAACACCGGUGGCGAAGGCGGAUCUCUGGGCCUUACCUGACGCUCAGGUGCGAAAGCUAGGGGAGCGAACAGG
rnacentral:rRNA from 1 species